UCCGCCCACAGGCGAACCUCACGCUGGAAAAGGCUCUCAAGUGCCACCCGGUGGCCCCACAAAGACAAAAGGUUUGGGGAAAAGUUGUUCAGAAACAAACAGCAAAAAUCCUAUAGGAUCCUGGAAGAUCUGCCACAAUGGCUUCAACUUGGCAGCCUGACUUCCUGGGCUGGAGUCCCCCAGGACAGAUGUGCCUGGAUUGUUCAAAAGGUUCAUUAGUUGCCAGGCAUGGGAGCAUACACCUUUAAUACCAGCAAUUAGUAGAGAGAGGUAGAAGAUGACCCAAAGCAGGCCAAGCAUCACCAAGACCAAUGGGAAUAAGAAAGGACAUCAUGCCAAGACAUACUGCAUUCCUCAAAAGCCCUCAGCGGUCCACAACAGACCGAUCCUGGAAAGGCAGAAGUUUCUGAUCCCUUAAAAGAUUAUUCUCUGGAAAACUCUCCAGAAACCAGGACUCCGUGAGCAAGCACUGUAGGAAAAGGCACGAAUUAAAAGUGAAUCAACAUGUUUGCUGUGGUAAUCAUCACAUUGACAAGGUACUGGCCAUCCAUCAUCCAGGCCAACCGAAAUCCAACCAAAUAAAAUCUUCAAGUAACCCAUUUCCACAGCAAAAUUGUGCCCUGUGUGCAAAGUUCCGGUGGCUUCUAGAAACUCGAUGACAAUGAGAGCCUUCUUGGUCUGUUUACCACAUAUUCUUUGCAGCAAAUGAAGAGGCUUGACAAGUGUGCUUGGCCUCUUCCUGGGUAAAGGUCACAGGCAGGAGAAAGCAGCUUGUUGUGUGGCUUAGCAGAACAGUCACCAUUUGUUCCUUCUCAAUGAAACGCCACAGUCUGGGAGCAGAAACGAGCACCCUCCAGAGCCUGCCUUGGCAGCCCCACCUCAAGAGCCCGCCCACAUGAGCCAGAUAAAUUACUGUGAAGAGAACUGUGGGCAUGGGGGGGAGGGUUGGACAUUGACCCUGAAAGUGGCCAAGGUGAGGGCAAAGGGUGAUUUCCCAGGAAGUAUGAAAAAUGGCACCUAAGAGGCUCCUCCACUAACAACUGGCCUCUUAUCCCCACCCUUUCUCUCCAGCUAAGUAAGACCAAAUCUACCCUGAAUGGGGCAGGGUGGGGCAUCUGCGUGUGCAUGGGUGGGGGGCAAGUGGCAGGCCCAGAGGAUGAAUUGUACCUGUUAUGAUUAUACCCCAAGGAUCUCUCUGGGCCCACAGGCUUUCACUCUUGUUUCUUCACAUGUGAUCAACAGGUCAAACUGAAGCUUGUUUAUUUCCAUAAGGAAACCAAAGAACUAUUUUCCAUAAUAGAAAGACAUCUAUACCUGGAUACGUGCAGUUGCAACUCAAUAACAAGAAAGACAGCUCAAUUAA